CUUACGACAUGUAUGCGGUUGAACGGGUGACAUGUUUAGCGCCUUGUUCUGCAGUGCAACUACUCACUAAAUUUUUUUAUUAUCACGCUAUAAAAAUAUAGUUAGAUGUCUGAAAUAGUAACGAUCAAACACGUAAAGCGCUAAAUUUCGCACUUUUUGAAGAUAUAUCUCUUUUCGUUGGCUAUCAAAUACAAAAACUAGAUGGCGUUGGUGUUUCCCCAAAUAAUGACUGAUUGCUUGUAACUAGUGAAAUCGAUGUCUGUUAAUUUUCUUAACUGUGUGUGGUGUGCUUCAAAGAAAUAUUCAUCUAAAAAUUAACAGUUGUCUUUCAUAUGUGACAGUUCCGAUUGUUAUCAGCUAUGCCAGCUGCUCAGCUAGGAAAUUGUAGGCUAUCUAUACUUUUGCUUUUUAUCAUGCCAUUUACUCAUGUAAAAGGCUUGUUGUACUUAACGCUGGAGCUUGAAUGCUUGAUACUGAAGCUUGAAUGUCAAUAGUUUUCAUCUAAUUAGUGUUAUCAGACAUUGAUCAUCAAUGUUUCAUGUAAACAAUCUUCUCUAUUUUGCAUGCAAGAAAAAUUUGCUUUAGCACCACUGCAUUACGGUGAACCAUGAGCAGGCGUGUGACUAGUUCAACUUCGUGUUCCAACAUUCACCGUCGUCCUCAUCUUUGUGACUAAACCGACCAACAUUCACCUAUCUGAACGUCAUCGCUUCAUUAUGAGAUUGCCAAUGGUAAACAAAUAAUUCCUGAUCUUCCCCUUUUCUUCCGCCUCAUCAUCUUCAUCUCAUCGUCUUCAAGCUGGUCGUCUUUGCCUUACAGCUUUUAACCUGGUCGUCUUGGCUUCGCCGCCUUUAACCUGGUCGUCUUCGCCUCGCCGCCUUUUACCUGGUCGUCUUCGCCUUGCCGUUUUCGCCUGACCUUCUCCAUCUCGUCGAUUUGUCGCAUCGUCUUGGAUCUCGCCUGUCUUUGCCUCAUCGCCGUCGUCGUGGAGCCUCGUGUUUUUGGUAUUGUUUUGUAUUGUAUUGUUGUAUAAUGCAUGUUGUAAGUUAACCCGUUGGCUGCCACCCAUUUUUCUCCCCUUUUUUUUUUAGUUGUAGGGACCGGCGGCGCUGUUCUACCCCAUGGCUGAUCGACCAUGGGGUGGGGCAGUCGCCUUGCGCCUUAGGGCGCCGUAGGCAAUGCACCAGUAGGGACUUCCCCUUGUCGAUGCGAUGGUGGAGUACCUGGGGUGUGCAUUCCCGUAAAGGUCUCCAUUGUCAAGUCAGCCCGGACUUGUCUUCGGAUAAGUCCCCCUUUCAUCGAAUCCCUCAGAAACGAUGCGUAGCGAUUGUAGUAGAACAACCUACGGGUUGUAAUGGCUUGGCAGCCAACGGGUUAACUUAGUGUUUGUGUAUAUGUGUAUGUAUUGUAUAACUUGUAAUGUAUUGAAUAACAUGUAAUGUAAAAUAGUGGUGGAAUUGUGGGUGGAGGUGGGAUAAUACAAAAUCAAUUCCUUUUA